CCUACGGGGGGCAGCAGUGAGGAAUAUUGGUCAAUGGGCGUAAGCCUGAACCAGCCAAGUCGCGUGAGGGAUGAAGGUUCUCUGGAUCGUAAACCUCUUUUAUAAGGGAAUAAAGUGCGGGUCGUGUCCCGUUUUGUAUGUACCUUAUGAAUAAGGAUCGGCUAACUCCGUGCCAGCAGCCGCGGUAAUACGGAGGAUCCGAGUGUUAUCCGGAUUUAUUGGGUUUAAUGGGUGCGUAGGGGGGCUUUUAAGUCAGCGGGGAAAGUCUGUGGCUCAACCAUAGAAUUGCCGUUGAAACUGGGAGGCUUGAGUAUGUUUGAGGCAGGCGGAAGGCGUGGUGUAGCGGUGAAAUGCUUAGAUAUCACGCAGAACCCCGAUUGCGAAGGCAGCCUGCCAAGCCAUGACUGACGCUGAUGCACGAAAGCGUGGGGAUCAAACAGGAUUAGAUACCCGUGUAGUC
rnacentral:rRNA from 1 species